AUAUGGUAUGUGGAUAGAUAUAUUGUUGUGAAAUUGAAUCGAUAUCUUAGUGAAAGUCAAUUGUUAUUUGACGCAGUAUUUCUUGAAGACUCAGCGGUGCAAGUUUGGUCCCAAGUGCAUAUUCAACCACCAAAAAGAUAAACUUGCUUUGUCUACUUUGGAAAAUGGCGAUGGCUCUGCCUUACUAGAGAGGCCAUCUGAACCCCCAUGUGUGGUAUGAGUGCUACAAUUUCAUUGGUAUCAGCUAUCUAUUUCUUCUUGCAUUUAAAAUAUCAGUCCUGUUGAAAUUAUAUGACCAUCGGUAUCGUCAUCUCCAUCGAUGUACCUGUCCUCGCUGCUGCUUGGUUCGAAUAAUUUUUCUUUGAUGUUCUUAGGUUUUGAUCUUCGAUUUGAUAUGGUUACUUUUGUGUAAUUGAUGAUCUAGAUCUUUUUUCUAAUGUUUUGCAGGGGAAUUUACAUUACAUUCAAUUAGGAUUGAUCCAAAAUGGAUGUUUAAAACCCCAACAUUACCUCCAAAAAUCUCAUCAGGCGUACGAAAUGCAAUUUGAGUCCUGAUCAACAUCUGGAAAAGAGAGGCAUCACCACCAUGCCAUCAUUCUAAUUUAAAGUUAGGGGMUGUUUACCUAAAUCUUUUUAUCUUAUAAUUCUUAAAUUGUUUUAAGCAAGUGUGAUUAUGAUGGCGUUGUUGCUCAUAUAUUCUGUCUGAGGAGGCUGCCGACUUUUGUAUAAAAAGGAUAACUGCAGAUAAAGAGGGAAAUUGUCACAGUUAGCGGUUCACAUGAAAUUAUUGCAUUAUGGCUAACACCUUUGCAGACCACUUGCAAUCAGACGAGGCUUCGUCAUCUAUGCAAAGUAACAAACGUGGUUCUACAGACUAUAAAAAAGUUAGAAAAGAGAUGUCAUGUGAUAGAUAGAGUAUCAAGUUUUGCGAGGAGUUUAGGGAGGAUGUUAGAAAAUGGAUUUAUAGAUUGAUUGAAUGUUGGGGAAUGUUUUGAGAACUUAUUUUUU